GAGAUACUCUGAUGGAGCAGGACUUGUUUCAGUGGGGCUUUGGUGUUCACUGAGUCUGACUCUUAGUGUGUCUCU
rfam:Myotis davidii contig79799, whole genome shotgun sequence.